rnacentral:rRNA from 1 species
AGCGAACGCUGGCGGCAGGCCUAACACAUGCAAGUCGAACGAACCUUUCUGGGUUAGUGGCGGACGGGUGAGUAACACGUGGGAACGUGCCUUUAGGUUCGGAAUAACUCAGGGAAACUUGUUCUAAUACCGAAUGUGCCCUUCGGGGGAAAGAUUUAUCGCCUUUAGAGGGGCCCGCGUCUGAUUAGCUAGUUGGUUGAGGUAAUGGCUCACCAAGGCGACGAUCAGUAGCUGGUCUGAGAGGAUGAUCAGCCACAUUGGGACUGAGACACGGCCCAAACUCCUACGGGAGGCAGAAGUGGGGAAUCUUGCGCAAUGGGCGAAAGCCUGACGCAGCCAUGCCGCGUGAAUGAUGAAGGUCUUAGGAUUGUAAAAUUCUUUCACCGGGGACGAUAAUGACGGUACCCGGAGAAGAAGCCCCGGCUAACUUCGUG